rnacentral:rRNA from 1 species
AACGAACGCUGGCGGCAGGCCUAACACAUGCAAGUCGAGCGCACCUUCGGGUGAGCGGCGGACGGGUUAGUAACGCGUGGGAACGUACCCUUUUCUACGGAAUAGCCUUUGGAAACGAAGAGUAAUACCGUAUACGCCCUUUGGGGGAAAGAUUUAUCGGAGAAGGAUCGGCCCGCGUUAGAUUAGAUAGUUGGUGGGGUAACGGCCUACCAAGUCUACGAUCUAUAGCUGGUUUUAGAGGAUGAUCAGCAACACUGGGACUGAGACACGGCCCAGACUCUUACGGGAGGCAGCAGUGGGGAAUCUUAGACAAUGGGCGCAAGCCUGAUCUAGCCAUGCCGCGUGAGUGAUGAAGGCCUUAGGGUCGUAAAGCUCUUUCGCCUGUGAUGAUAAUGACAGUAGCAGGUAAAGAAACCCCGGCUAACUCCGUGCCAGCAGCCGCGGUAAUACGGAGGGGGUUAGCGUUGUUCGGAAUUACUGGGCGUAAAGCGCACGUAGGCGGAUUGGAAAGUUGGGGGUGAAAUCCCGGGGCUCAACCCCGGAACUGCCUCCAAAACUAUCAGUCUAGAGUUCGAGAGAGGUGAGUGGAAUUCCAAGUGUAGAGGUGAAAUUCGUAGAUAUUUGGAGGAACACCAGUGGCGAAGGCGGCUCACUGGCUCGUAUACUGACGCUGAG